rnacentral:rRNA from 1 species
UACGUAGGUGGCAAGCGUUGUCCGGAAUUAUUGGGCGUAAAGCGCGCGCAGGCGGUCCUUUAAGUCUGAUGUGAAAGCCCACGGCUCAACCGUGGAGGGUCAUUGGAAACUGGGGGACUUGAGUACAGAAGAGAAGAGUGGAAUUCCACGUGUCGCGGUGAAAUGCGUAGAGAUGUGGAGGAACACCAGUGGCGAAGGCGACUCUUUGGUCUGUAACUGACGCUGAGGCGCGAAAGCGUGGGGAGCAAACAGG